GACGAACGCUGGCGGCGUGCCUAAUACAUGCAAGUUGAGCGCUGAAGCGUGGUACUUGUACCACCUGGAUGAGCAGCGAACGGGUGAGUAACGCGUGGGGAAUCUGCCUUUGAGCGGGGGACAACAUUGGGAAACGAAUGCUAAUACCGCAUAAAAACUUUAAACACAAGUUUUAAGAUUGAAAGACGCAAUUGCAUCACUCAAAGAUGAUCCCGCGUUGUAUUAGCUAGUUGGUGAGGUAAAGGCCUACCAAGGCGAUGAUACAUAGCCGACCUGAGAGGGUGAUCCGCCACCACGGGACUGAGACACGGCCCAAACCCCCACGGGGAGGAGCAGGAGGGAAACCUCGGGAAUUGGGGAAAGUCUUACCGAACAACGCCGGCGGAGGUAAUAAGGUUCUCGGAUCGGAAAACUCCGUUGGUUGAGAAGAAAGAUGGUGAGAGUGGAAAGCUCAUGAAGUGACGGUAACUACUCAGAAAGCGACGGCUAACUACGUG
rnacentral:rRNA from 1 species